rnacentral:rRNA from 1 species
UACGUAGGGUGCAAGCGUUGUCCGGAAUUAUUGGGCGUAAAGAGCUCGUAGGCGGUUUGUCGCGUCGGCUGUGAAAACCUAGGGCUCAACUCUGGGCUUGCAGCCGAUACGGGCAAACUAGAAUUCGGUAGGGGAGACUGGAAUUCCUGGUGUAGCGGUGAAAUGCGCAGAUAUCAGGAGGAACACCGGUGGCGAAGGCGGGUCUCUGGGCCGAUAUUGACGCUGAGGAGCGAAAGCGUGGGAGAAGCAACGAUGAUAACGAACGAGU